AUGCAUAAACAUCCAUUCUCUGGGGUUCCCGCCAUAUGCGCCAGGGACAGAAGCAUUCUUUCUCUUCCAUCACCCAUAAUCAGUGUUCCCAGCUGGCACUUGGCACCGGCGCCUUUGUCUUUCAGUGCCAGCGCAAUAAUGCAGUGUGCUCUCCGGGAGGCUGGCUUUGCAGCAGGUGUGAUUUUACUCCUAAGGGAAACCAACUACCAACUUCACUGCUCAUUGCUGUUGCCGGGCCAGCAGUGGCCCCAAGGGAUGGAAACACCCACUCAGCAAUCUGCCAAGCCAGGAGUUCAGCACGUGAGCAGACAGUCGUGUCUGCCCUCUAGGCCAAAGUGCACAGACAGCUGCGGCGUUAGGGGCAUUUGCCCCACUCCACAUCAGCCUAGAAACCAGAGCUGCUUCUCUUCCUGGUCAAACGGAUGGCUAGUCUGCAAGAGAAUUUUUGGCCACUUGGCCUCAGAGCUUCUAACUUUGACCUUUCCCACCUUCUCUUCCUGGAAGACAUUCGAGUGAGGAUUCUUUGAG
rnacentral:lncRNA from 1 species